GCACAAGCAGCGGAGCGUGUGGUUUAAUUCGAUGUUACACGAAGAACCUUACCAGGGUUUGACAUGCAAGUGGUAGGAAGCCGAAAGGUGACCGACCCUUCGGGGAGCUUGCACAGGCGCUGCAUGGCUGUCGUCAGCUCGUGUCGUGAGAUGUUCGGUUAAGUCCGCUAACGAGCGCAACCCUCGCUGUGUGUUAUAUGUGUCACACGGGACUGCCGGUCUUAAGCCGGAGGAAGGUGGGGAUGAUGUCAAGUCAGCAUGGCCUUUAUAUCCUGGGCUACACACACGCUACAAUGGCCAACACAAUAGGUUGCUAAGCCGCGAGGUGGCGCCAAUCCAUAAAGUUGGUCUCAGUUCAGAUUGUAGGCUGCAACCCGCCUGCAUGAAGAUGGAGUUGCUAGUAACCGCAGGUCAGCUAUACUGCGGUGAAUACGUUCCCGGGGCUU
rnacentral:rRNA from 1 species